UGGGGGAUAUUGCACAAUGGGCGAAAGCCUGAUGCAGCGACGCCGCGUGGGGGAUGAAGGCUUUCGGGUUGUAAACCUCUUUCGCUAUCGAACAAGGCCCGCUUAGGGUGGUUGAGGGUAGGUGGAGAAGAAGCGCCGGCUAACUACGUGCCAGCAGCCGCGGUAAUACGUAGGGCGCGAUCGUUGUCCGGAAUUAUUGGGCGUAAAGGGCUUGUAGGCGGCUUGUUGCGCCUGCUGUGAAAACGCGGGGCUUAACUUCGCGCGUGCAGUGGGUACGGGCAGGCUUGAGUGUGGUAGGGGUGACUGGAAUUCCAGGUGUAGCGGUGGAAUGCGCAGAUAUCUGGAGGAACACCGAUGGCGAAGGCAGGUCACUGGGCCAUUACUGACGCUGAGGAGCGAAAGCAUGGGUAGCGAACAGG
rnacentral:rRNA from 1 species